rnacentral:snoRNA from 15 species
AAUAUUCUGAUGAAUAUCUUUAUUUUCUGACAUCUCUUAUGAACCGUUGUGAUUCAAUACAAUUAAUUAUUAUCUACUGAAGCU